UCAGCUACCCGCUUCUCCGAGC
rnacentral:misc_RNA from 1 species